rnacentral:rRNA from 1 species
UACGUAGGGGGCUAGCGUUGUCCGGAUUUAUUGGGCGUAAAGAGCGUGUAGGCGGCCAGGUAGGUCUGGUGGGAAAACUCGAGGCUUAACCUCGAGAUGUCAUCGGAAACCAUCUGGCUAGAGUCCGGAAGAGGAGAGUGGAAUUCCCGGUGUAGCGGUGAAAUGCGCAGAUAUCGGGAAGAACACCCGUGGCGAAGGCGGCUCUCUGGGACGGUACUGACGCUGAGACGCGAAAGCGUGGGGAGCGAACAGG